AGCGAACGCUGGCGGCAGGCCUAACACAUGCAAGUCGAACGAACCUUUCGGGGUUAGUGGCGGACGGGUGAGUAACACGUGGGAACGUGCCUUUAGGUUCGGAAUAACUCAGGGAAACUUGUGCUAAUACCGAAUGUGCCCUUCGGGGGAAAGAUUUAUCGCCUUUAGAGCGGCCCGCGUCUGAUUAGCUAGUUGGUUGAGGUAAUGGCUCACCAAGGCGACGAUCAGUAGCUGGUCUGAGAGGAUGAUCAGCCACAUUGGGACUGAGACACGGCCCAAACUCCUACGGGAAGCAGCAGUGGGGAAUAUUGCGCAAUGGGCGAAAGCCUGACGCAGCCAUGCCGCGUGAAUGAUGAAGGUCUUAGGAUUGUAAAAUUCUUUCACCGGGGACGAUAAUGACGGUACCCGGAGAAGAAGCCCCGGCUAACUUCGUG
rnacentral:rRNA from 1 species